UAUUAAUUGCAGAGAAAAGUUUCUAAAAAUAAAUUUAAUGAUUACUUGUUGGAAUAGGAAGAUAUAUUUGAAAACGAAAAAUAGGAAAAGAACAGUUUGAAGUAGUAAUUUUAAUAGAUGAAUGGAAUAAAAUGUAUCCAUGCGACGAUGAAGCAAAGUUACGAUCUGGCUGGACUCAUAUCAUUGAGAAAAUCUUAACCAGUCAGAUGAAACUUCCCUUUACCUGAGCUCAUUGUAAACAAUGCACAGCCACAUUAAGAAUGAAUAUGAUUAGUUCAAUGCAUGAUAAACUUUGAAAAAAAGACCAUUUAGUGGUAGAAGAAAGGAAAUCGGCAAUCAAUUAGAAUAAGACUUUGCCUCUAACUGGCGGGUUGAAAAGGCCAACCAAACUAUGGAAUUUGGCAAGGUAGAACCAAAUAUACACUUUAUUCUUUAAAUGUUCUAAGAAAGUGUAAGCAAACUUUUAAAAAUGAUAAUGAUUUUGAUCUGAAAAUGGAUAAUGGUAUUAAUACACUAUUAAUUUUAAAAUAUACCGAACCCUAUAUUUUAAUCAUUAUUAAUAUAUGAUUUGAUAAAUUUUAUAUACAUUAUUGGUUGCCAGAUCAAAUGUGUAUAUACAAUAAAUUUUGUCAGGAUACUGAUGUGUCGAUACUUCAUAUUGAUGCAACAUGCUCCCUGGUUACAAAAAUUAGGCAAUAUAAUAAAAAAUCAGGCUAUUUUUUAUAUGCGGGAGUAAUUAGAAUAAAAUUAAAAUAAGGUCAAAUACCUGUGAUGCAAAAUAUGGAUACAAAUUAGCGCAAAAUCCCCAAAAUAGUUGUAACCGAUCAUUCUUAAGCUUUGCUAGGCUUUGUUAGAUCCUUAGCAAAUUAUAUAGAUCUGAAGAUUAAUAUUGACUUUGUAUUUAAUAUAGUAAUGGGACAAAAAUUAAACAUGCCCAAGAUUUAUAUUAGAGUUGAUUAUGCCCACUGUAUUAAGUUAAUAAGCAGAUGGCAGGGUUUAUAUAAAAACCCAGUUUGUUUAGAGAGUUUUAU